CAAUAGCGUAUAUUAAAGUUGUUGCGGUUAACAAGCUCGUAGUUGGAUUUCUGCCGAGGACGACCGGUCCGCCCUCUGGGUGAGUAUCUGGCUUGGCCUGGGCAUCUUCUUGGAGAACGUAUCUGCACUUGACUGUGUGGUGCGGUAUCCAGGACUUUUACUUUGAGGAAGUUAGCGUGUUUCAAGCAGGCAUACGCCUUGAAUACAUUAGCAUGGAAUAAUAAGAUAGGACCUCGGUUCUAUUUUGUUGGUUUCUAGAGCUGAGGUAAUGAUUAAUAGGGAUAGUUGAGGGCAUUCGUAUUUAACUGUCAGAGGUGAAAUUCUUGGAUCUGUUGAAGACGGACUACUGCGAAAGCAUUUGCCAAGGAUGUUUUCAUUGAUCAAGAACGAAAGUUAGGGGAUCGAAGACGAUUAGAUACCAU
rnacentral:rRNA from 1 species